GUGGGGAAUCUUGCGCAAUGGGCGAAAGCCUGACGCAGCCAUGCCGCGUGAAUGAUGAAGGUCUUAGGAUUGUAAAAUUCUUUCACCGGGGACGAUAAUGACGGUACCCGGAGAAGAAGCCCCGGCUAACUUCGUGCCAGCAGCCGCGGUAAUACGAAGGGGGCUAGCGUUGCUCGGAAUUACUGGGCGUAAAGGGCGCGUAGGCGGACAGUUUAGUCAGAGGUGAAAGCCCAGGGCUCAGCCUUGGAAUUGCCUUUGAUACUGGCUGUCUUGAGUACGGAAGAGGUGAGUGGAACUCCGAGUGUAGAGGUGAAAUUCGUAGAUAUUCGGGAGGACACCAGUGGCGAAGGCGACUCACUGGCCCGUUACUGACGCUGAGGCGCGAAAGCGUGGGGAGCAAACAGGAUUAGAUACCCUAGUAGUCC
rnacentral:rRNA from 1 species